rnacentral:rRNA from 1 species
UACAGAGGUCCCAAGCGUUGUUCGGAUUCACUGGGCGUAAAGGGUGCGUAGGUGGCCAGGUAAGUUUGGUGUGAAAGCUCGGAGCUCAACUCCGAAAUGGCAUUGAAUACUAUCUGGCUGGAGGGUCGGAGGGGAGACUGGAAUACUUGGUGUAGCAGUGAAAUGCGUAGAUAUCAAGUGGAACACCAGUGGCGAAGGCGAGUCUCUGGACGACACCUGACGCUGAGGCACGAAAGCCAGGGGAGCAAACGGG